GCUGUGCGAUGUUGCCUCCUCUCUUCAACCUCAUUUUUUUGGUUCUUCUUCUGCGGGUUGUUAAUCAUUUUGCCUUGAUUUCUCCGUAUCUUUAUGAAUCAACUUUAAAGAAUGGAUUAGUUGCAAGUUUUUGCUGAAAGUCCCUUCUUAAAAGGAGAUUUGUUCUAUUGGGUGGGCUCAUGAUUGUGUGCAUGGGAAGCUCAAUACUACCACCCCAUAGUAGACAAGCUUUAUUCAAGUUUCUAUUUCUCAAUCUGACCCUGGACUUUCCCUUUUACCGAAUCAUUUUUAAUAUCUGACUAGUAUACACUAGCAUUUCAAUUAAUUCAUCCGUUGUGGUGUUGUAAUUAUCAUAAAGUGAUAAAUUUAUACUGCAUCCUUAGUUCCCCAACCCCCUAUCUCAUUUUAGGCGAUACUCUCAAGUAUGGAGUUCUCAACUUGUCACUGUUUAGAAUGUUUUUUCCUAUCGAAUUCAUGCUGUUAAUGUAAAUAAAACUGCAAUCCCCUGUAUCUACUUCUAGAUUUUCUACAUAGCCUUCUAUUUUAUUUCCUUUUCUCAUUGUAUGCUGAAACUUAAUCUGCU